GUGGGGAAUAUUGGACAAUGGGCGAAAGCCUGAUCCAGCAAUGCCGCGUGAGUGAGGAAGGCCUUAGGGUUGUAAAGCCCUGUGGGGAGGGACGAAUAAGUUGCGGCUAAUACCCGCAGCGAUGACGGUACCUCCUUAGCAAGCACCGGCUAACUCUGUGCCAGCAGCCGCGGUAAGACAGAGGUGCCAAGCGUUAGGCGGAAUCACUGGGCUUAAAGCGUGUGUAGGCGGAAGCGUAAGUGCCUUGUGAAAUCCCACGGCUUAACCGUGGAACUGCUGGGCAUACUGCGUUUCUUGAGCCAAUCAGGGGUCGUCGGAACAAACGGUGGAGCGGUGAAAUGUGUAGAUAUCGUUUGGAACGCCAAAGGCGAAAGCAGACGACUGGGAUUGAGCUGACGCUGAGACACGAAAGCCAGGGGAUCGAA
rnacentral:rRNA from 1 species